CCUACGGGAGGCAGCAGUGAGGAAUAUUGGACAAUGGAUGGAAAUCUGAUCCAGCCAUGCCGCGUGCAGGAAGACGGCCCUAUGGGUUGUAAACUGCUUUUGUGUGGGAGCAAUAAGGUCUAUGCGUAGACUGAUGAGAGUACCAUACGAAUAAGCAUCGGCUAACUCCGUGCCAGCAGCCGCGGUAAU
rnacentral:rRNA from 2 species